UGAAGGAAGACGUCAUUGAUGCUGUCAGAGUGAAUCACAUCAAUUUUGGGGACUGUGCUCUCGGGAAGCCCUGCCACAGGACCUUCAGCAUCAGCAACCACAGCCAGACGAAGGUCAUGCACUUUGAGUGGGAGGCAGGCGCCCCAUUCCAGUUCUCCCCCAAGGUGGGACACCUCCAUCCUGGCUGUGCCAAGGACAUCACAGUGUCCUUGAAAUCAGAUGUCCCAGCCACCUUCAGGAGGCACCUUGUGAA